rnacentral:lncRNA from 1 species
GAAGACUUUUCCAAAAGUCAACUUCAGUGACAGGAGACAGGUUCUGCUUCAGCCAGACCAGGAUUUAUGUUUAAAGUAGGUUUGAACGCACUGAAUGUUUUCAAAACAGACAAAAAAUAAUGAGAACACGUUGGAGUAUAAAUAUUUAACUUUACCUCAGUUGUCAUAAUAGCCCCAGCAAUUCUUCAAACACAACCGGAGGACUGAGGCAUCACUUCACUGGCAUCAGCCCGGGCUGCCUCCGCCUUGCCCUAGGAGCGCUGGUCCCCUCAAGUCCCCGGUUGCCCUUCCCGGAGCAUCCCCAAAGAGGAGGAUUGGAGAAGGCGUGACGCGGGGCGGGGGAGCCUAGGGAGAAGUGAGAUUUACUCUCUUUCGGUGGGAUCCGGCUGUGGCCAGAAGACUUUCCGCGUCAGAGCUGCUCGGCCAGCGCGUUUCCCGGGGAAGAGAGGCUGGUGGCGGGUCUUCCGACCCGAGGUUGUCCCGGCUCUCGCUACCUGCGCGCCCUCGCCGUACGGUGGUUAGAAUUCGGGAAGAUGCACUGGGAUGCCAAGAAAGCGCCUCUGUGCACCGAAAAGGUUGAAAAAUAACCCCAGCACUCUCAUCUAGUCCCACACCUUGCACUGGCGUGAAGCACCCGGGGAAGAUCAAGUGUCAAAGACAGUGGCGGUUUAUUUUGGUGCAUUUCAGUUCUCCUUUCCGUUUCCAGCAAAAUUGAGAACACAGCGGAGAAAGAAGAGGGACCUUCGGAGAAAAGACCUGCGUGUGUGUGUGUGUGUGUGUGUGUGUGUGUGUGUGUGUAUAGGUAGGUAGAUACGAUGACAACUUUCAAGCACAUUCUCUAUUUAAAAGCAAAACCAAAACCCAGACAGGGGCCGAGAUUUCUUGGCGGUGCAGCGAAGGGUCAUUCAAGACAAGCAACUGUCUGAAAUCCGAAAGCGAUUUCUUGGGACUUUACUGAAAUAGUGAGAGUUCCCGGGAGUUUAAUUUUUCAAGGCUGUAAAAUGUUGUUUUGUAUUGGCCUCUUUUCCCAUCAGAUAUCCAUUAAAAACAACAACAACAACAACCACUUCUACAGCAUCUAUUAAACAUAUUUCCUUGGACUCGAAAUCUACAGCUCGGCAGAAACAAACAAGUCAAAGCAAAACCCCGGAAAAUAAAGAGAUUUAGAAG